UACGGAGGGAGCGAGCGUUGUCCGAAGUUACUGGGCGUAAAGCGCGCGUAGGCGGGCAAUUAAGUGAGAAGUGAAAGGCUGGGGCUUAACCCCAUGCAGUGCUCCUCAUACUGGUUUUCUUGAGGGUGGUAGAGAGAAGUGGAAUGGCUGGUGUAGCGGUGAAAUGCGUAGAUAUCAGUCGGAACACCAGUGGCGAAGGCGGCUUCUUGGGCCAUUACUGACGCUGAGGCGCGAAAGCCAGGGGAGCGAACGGG
rnacentral:rRNA from 1 species